AGCAUAUCAAUAAGCGGAGGAAAAGAAACUAACAAGGAUUCCCCUAGUAACUGCGAGUGAAGCGGGAAAAGCUCAAAUUUCGAAUCUGGCGGUCCGCUGGGGCCGUCCGAAUUGUAAUCUAGAGAAGCGUCUUCCAGCCCCGUGCCGUGUACAAGUCUCCUGGAAGGGAGCAUCAUAGAGGGUGAGAAUCCCGUCUUUGACACGGAUCCGUCGGUGCUUCGUGAUGCGCUCUCGACGAGUCGAGUUGUUUGGGAAUGCAGCUCAAAUAGGGUGGUAAACUCCAUCUAAAGCUAAAUACAGGCGAGAGACCGAUAGCGAACAAGUACCGUGAGGGAAAGACGAAAAGAACUUUGGAAAGAGAGUUAAACAGUACGUGAAAUCGUUGAAAGGGAAACGCUUGAUGUCAGUCUCGUCCGCCGGGGAUCAACCUCGCUCUUUUGCUGGGUGCACUUCCCGGUCGACGGGUCAGCAUCAGUUUCGGUCGUCAUACAAUGGCGAGAGCGAACGUGUCAUGCUCCGGCAUGCGUUAUAGCCUCUCGUCGCAUGUGGCGGUCGGGACUGAGGAACUCGGCGUGCAUCUCGUGUGUGCGUCUAGGAUGCUGGCAUAAUGGCCUUAAGCGACCCGUCUUGAAACACGGACCAAGGAGUCCAACAUGCCUGCGAGUGUUCGGGCGGAAAACCCGAGCGCGCAAUGAAAGUGAAAGUCGAGACCUUCGUCACUGGAGGGCACCGACGCCCGGAUCAAAGUCCUUCCGGACGAUGACUCUGCGGUAGAGCAUGUAUGUUGGGACCCGAAAGAUGGUGAACUAUGCCUGAAUAGGGUGAAGCCAGAGGAAACUCUGGUGGAGGCUCGUAGCGAUUCUGACGUGCAAAUCGAUCGUCAAAUUUGGGUAUAGGGGCGAAAGACUAAUCGAACCAUCUAGUAGCUGGUUCCUGC
rnacentral:rRNA from 1 species